UACGAAGGGGGCUAGCGUUGCUCGGAAUCACUGGGCGUAAAGGGUGCGUAGGCGGGUCUUUAAGUCAGGGGUGAAAUCCUGGAGCUCAACUCCAGAACUGCCUUUGAUACUGAAGAUCUUGAGUCCGGGGGAGGUGAGUGGAACUGCGAGUGUAGAGGUGAAAUUCGUAGAUAUUCGCAAGAACACCAGUGGCGAAGGCGGCUAACUGGUCCGGUUCUGACGCUGAGGCGCGAAAGCGUGGAGAGCAAACAGG
rnacentral:rRNA from 1 species